GAUGAACGCUGGCGGCGUGCCUAAUACAUGCCAGUCGAGCGAACAGACGAGGAGCUUGCUCCUCUGACGUUAGCGGCGGACGGGUGAGUAACACGUGGAUAACCUACCUAUAAGACUGGGAUAACUUCGGGAAACCGGAGCUAAUACCGGAUAACAUGUUGAACCGCAUGGUUCAACAGUGAAAGACGGUUUUGCUGUCACUUAUAGAUGGAUCCGCGCCGCAUUAGCUAAUUGGUAAGGUAACGGCUUACCAAGGCAACGAUGCGUAGCCGACCUGAGAGGGUGAUCGGCCACACUGGAACUGAGACACGGUCCAGACUCCUACGGGAGGCAGCAGUAGGGAAUCUUCCGCAAUGGGCGAAAGCCUGACGGAGCAACGCCGCGUGAGUGAAGAAGGUCUUCGGAUCGUAAAACUCUGUUAUUAGGGAAGAACAAAUGUGUAAGUAACUAUGCACGUCUUGACGGUACCUAAUCAGAAAGCCACGGCUAACUACGUG
rnacentral:rRNA from 1 species